AUMUAUACCWCRCCGSCUUUGGARRARAGUGAUCCUGGCUCAGGACGAACGCUGGCGGCGUGCCUAAUACAUGCAAGUCGAGCGGACAGAUGGGAGCUUGCUCCCUGAUGUUAGCGGCGGACGGGUGAGUAACACGUGGGUAACCUGCCUGUAAGACUGGGAUAACUCCGGGAAACCGGGGCUAAUACCGGAUGGUUGUUUGAACCGCAUGGUUCAAACAUAAAAGGUGGCUUCGGCUACCACUUACAGAUGGACCCGCGGCGCAUUAGCUAGUUGGUGAGGUAAYGGCUCACCAAGGCAACGAUGCGUAGCCGACCUGAGAGGGUGAUCGGCCACACUGGGACUGAGACACGGCCCAGACUCCUACGGGAGGCAGCAGUAGGGAAUCUUCCGCAAUGGACGAAAGUCUGACGGAGCAACGCCGCGUGAGUGAUGAAGGUUUUCGGAUCGUAAAGCUCUGUUGUUAGGGAAGAACAAGURCCGUUCGAAUAGGGCGGUACCUUGACGGUACCUAACCAGA
rnacentral:rRNA from 1 species